GGAUCUACUUCUUUCAAGAGGCAAACGUGUGUCGAGUGUUGACAGGAUCUGGGGCAUGGACAUCCCUCCCGACACGACGAUUUCUGCAAUGGAAGAAUAUGAAUGAGACGUAAGCCUAAACUAGUGUAGAAUUAUCAUU